CCUGCUUAAGCGUUGCAGAAUCUGCCGGUGUCGCCGCUUCGGCAGGCGAAGAAAAGUCGACGUGGACUGAGGUCUCGAAGCUCACAGUAUCGCGGUGUGACGUUUUAUCAGCGUACUGGUCGUUGGGAAUCACAUAUCUGAUACAAAGGUACAUAUCAUACUUAAGAAGUGGCUAUAAAGAUACUAAAAACUGAACGCUUAAACAAAGAUUUUGCAAAAAGUACUUGCCGAGGAAGUUUAUAUUUUGAUUCUUGAGGUCAGUAUAUAUAUACUCUUUUCUUUUUUGCAUUGUUCGACUGCAUUUUCUUUAAGGAUGAGCUUGGAACCAACCGGUACCGAAAAUCCCCUAAAAUGGGUACCGGUACCGAAUAUACCCGGUACGGUUCGGUACCGGUAUUGAGGAUAAAAAUCGGUACCAAAAACGUCAAAUGUCGGUAUCGAAAAUGUACGCGGUUAGGUAACUUCCCUAAUUUUCUUUGCAAACUGUAUUAUUGUUUUUUCCUUACAUGUGACAUUUAGUAAGAUUUAUUAUGUUCAGGCAAGUCCGACAUACUAAUGUAGUGUAGUUUACACGAGCAUGUACCAAGCUUUCAAGUUUGUGCAUUGUAACAGUUGGCAGUUGGAUUACUCUAAGAUGCCUAGAAGUCGAAAGGGUUCAUCAGGAGGUGGUGCUGAUUUGGAGUAUGUUCAUGCAGAUGCACGGGCUUCUGCCUACAGUUCGUUUGCAGCUGGAGCUGCAUUGAUUGCUGGUAUUUAUGGGCAAUUGGGUUUAAUAUGCAGCCUUUACUUUCUCUAAUUUUGAUUCACUUUUUAUUGAAUGGAUAAUCGGGUUACAUCUUUUCUCUAACAGGUCAAAUAGAAAGAUUUAGCUAAAUAUUAAAAAGAAAACUCAAAUGGUUCAAAUGGGCCAAAAGUCUCUCAAAGCUUAUUUAAUAGUGCACACAAUUUAGAUCGGCUUAUUAAUAUAGGCGAUUAUUUAUAAAGUCAACUGAUUUUGCUAAAAUGAGUUCAGUAUUUACACUAGGAGCACG